AGUGAACGCUGGCGGUAGGCCUAACACAUGCAAGUCGAACGGCAGCACAGUAAGAGCUUGCUCUUACGGGUGGCGAGUGGCGGACGGGUGAGGAAUACAUCGGAAUCUACUUUUUCGUGGGGGAUAACGUAGGGAAACUUACGCUAAUACCGCAUACGACCUACGGUUGAAAGCAGGGGAUCUUCGGACCUUGCGCGAUUGAAUGAGCCGAUGUCGGAUUAGCUAGUUGGCGGGGUAAAGGCCCACCAAGGCGACGAUCCGUAGCUGGUCUGAGAGGAGGAUCAGCCACACUGGAACUGAGACACGGUCCAGACUCCUACGGGAGGCAGCAGUGGGGAAUAUUGGACAAUGGGCGCAAGCCUGAUCCAGCCAUACCGCGUGGGUGAAGAAGGCCUUCGGGUUGUAAAGACCUUUUGUUGGGAAAGAAAAGCAGCAGGUUAAUACCCCGCUGUUCUGACGGUACCAAAAGAAUAAGCACCGGCUAACUUCGUG
rnacentral:rRNA from 1 species